GGGUGGCCACGUGUCGCUCAACC
rnacentral:siRNA from 1 species